rnacentral:rRNA from 1 species
CAGCCGCCGCGGUAAUACGAAGGGUGCAAGCGUUAAUCGGAAUUACUGGGCGUAAAGCGUGCGUAGGCGGUGAGUUAAGUCUGCUGUGAAAUCCCCGGGCUCAACCUGGGAAUGGCAGUGGAUACUGGCUCGCUAGAGUGUGUCAGAGGAUGGUGGAAUUUCCGGUGUAGCGGUGAAAUGCGUAGAGAUCGGGAGGAACAUCAGUGGCGAAGGCGGCCAUCUGGGACAACACUGACGCUGAGGCACGAAAGCGUGGGGAGCAAACAGGAUUAGAUACCCGCGUAGUCCCUGUCUCUUAUAA